AUAUAUUGAACCAUGGAAGUAAUAUUUAGAAGGAAUAACAACGACUAAUUAGCAUGUAUUUAUAGCAUGCUGAGCUCUGUACUAAAGUCAUACGAUUUCAUCCAAUUAUAGUCUCAGCGGUAAGACGCCUUUGGUUACUAUCUGCGUUACCGCGGUUGUAAAAGGCAUCUGGAAUUUCUUAUCAGUCACGUGGUUUUAUCG
rnacentral:lncRNA from 1 species